ensembl:lncRNA
CAGCAGACCAAACUGAAGCUAACUCCAGGGAGGUCAUUGAUCUGAUCGACGACACCAUCGAAAUCUCAUCUGACGAGGAGAUUGAGGUGGACGAUGGCGAUCGGGGCGUUUCCAAGGCGACGGUGGAGGAAAACGUUCGGCUGAAGAGGAUGAGGAGAUCAGAUGUGGAUGAGACGCCAGGAACCACGAACUCUCCAAAGAAGCUGCAGCUCCAUCAGGCUCGUCAGGAGCUCCAGACUCUGCACAGCGCGAUAGAGGAGCUGAAGAGUCUGAAGACGAGUCUGAAGCAGCAGAGAGACACACAGAGUUCAGGUGAAAAACCAGGUAAGAGCGAGCAGAGAUCAGGAAGUCAGCAGCCAACAGGAGACACAAUUGAAGAUGGCAUCACGGCCACAUCACCUGACCCGCAGCCUCCACAAGCUCCUCCCACUUGUGGUUCUGCCCCACCCACUCCUACACCUGUCCAGCCUCUGGUCCAACAGGUAUUAAACACCGUCCUAGCUCAUUCUGCUGCGUCCCACAAUGCAUCUGUGCAGAGAGAUCGGCCGAGGACGAUUCCCAACAUCCUGUCUCGCAGGAAGACUCAUCCACAGCCACCUCAGAACACAACGACUGAAGAGGGCAUGGCAUCCGUCACUGUGAACAUACCCAACCUGGCCAAUCAGCAGCUGCAUCUCACCUCCUUGCCCCACCCACCAGCUGACAAGAUCUGCAACAGCGCCGCCCCACUCACCCUCACUAACUUCACAGACUUCAGCAUGCUCCAUGCGGUUCACCCUGCAACAACACAACAAGAACAGAAAGAACAACAACAACAGUUAGACAAACAACAACAACAGCAGACAGACAAACAACAACCGACGGACAAACAACAAACACAACAGAACCGGCCGUUGGACCCUCAGUCAGUCUCUGUUGGAUCGGACCGUAGCAGCGACCAGUCCGACCUCAGACCUUCAUCCUCGCCGUCUGUUAGCACCGACCGUCAGUCGCAGGUAAAAGGGGCGGGGCCUCAGGAGACCAACGGUGACCCGGACAACGAGAAUCUGGCAUUACUCCUCAACGAGAUCUUCUUCCUCAACCAGCAGAACAUCACCACGAUGACGGCAGCAGGGGUCCCAUCACCAGGGAAACCAACCUCUGAGGUGGGCGAAGCCAAGGAGCGAGACCACGUCCACAGACUCCCACAGCCAGACUCGGACUCUACCAGCACCGUUGCCAUAGAGACAGAGGGGGUGGGGCUUAAUGGCUAUGCAGAGGCGACUGGCGUGCAGGAGGGACCAGGAAACACUAAAGGAGCUGUGCUGACUCCGCCCCCUCUGCUGCAGAUGAAGGUGGGAGGGGCCAAGGUUGCCCCACCCACCAGCAGUGACAGCGCAGCAGGAGGGGCAUCAGCAGAGAGGAGGGAGGGGGGCAUGGCCUGGAGGCCGAUGCCGAGGCUGGUUCCUCUGGGGUUGAGGGGGAACCCGCCCUGCUGAUGUCACGCAUGAUGUCACCGCAGCUUCAGGACCUCAUUGGCGGUCUGUGGGCAGCGAACAUUUUCUGAUUGGUCAUCAGGAAGAGAAGCGGAUCACUGAUGUUUACAGUCGAGCAGAGAUCGUGUCACCUUAUUUAUUUUGUCAGCGCCGUCAUCCUUUCAGUCUGAGCUCCGUCGUUUGUUUGCUUUAGUCGUUGUUUCAGGAUCGUUUCAGAAUAAAGUUGAAACAGAAAAAAUCCCGAUACGGAACUGAUAACAGAUCAAUACUGUAAAAUAGACUGAGGCUGUUGCUAUGGCAAUGGCAGGUACCCUGUCGCCAGGGUAACCGCCUUCUGAGGCGACCGGAGGGAAAAAAGUUGAUAAAAUAUUCUGAAUAAUUUUGGUUGUUUCCAAACUGUAAUUUAAAUAUGUUUGGCCGCGAUCAAUCGAUUUAUUGAUCACCAGAAUAACAAUCAGCAGCUGUUUAAUUAAUCAAUGUCAUUUUUCUGAUGCAGUUUACAGGCAGAAAACAGCCGAUAGAAUAAUCAAUAAUAAUAAUGUUGCAGCUUCAUUCUAAUAAAGUUUCUGAUCAAUCAUGUCGACUAGUUUGAAGCUGAGAAAUAUCAAAACUUUAGGUUUGCUUUAUUGUUGGGAUUUUAUUGUGAAAUCCGACUUUAUUUAAACCACGAACAAAAUGUUAGAAGAACAGUUGUUUGUGUUUCAGGCAGCAACUCACCUGUCCAGCUAGAAAACAGACUCUAACCCGUUUCACUUCCUCUGAAUGUUUUGAGUCAAAAUAAUUUUUAUUUCUGGCCAAAUGAAGAUUCUGUCACCUGAAUUUAUCUUUCAGAACCGAUUUAGUUUCAUAUUUUUAAGAGCUAAUUUAAAACGUUUUCGACGGUUCAGUAAACUUCAUUGAUGCUGCUCAGACGAAAUAAGAACCAAACUGAAAGAAAAGUUAGUUUUUUAAAGCGUUAUUUUAUCCUGUUGAAAUGUUUUACUUUGAAAAACUCUGAAAACUCGAAAGACUACAGAAACAUAAAACUCCUCCUUUAAUAGAAGAACGAAACUUUCUGUUCCAAAUGUUGCAGCUUUACUCUGAAAAUCUGAAACUGACAGAAGCUUUAUUUUUGUACUUGAAGGUUUUCGUUCAUCGGCGUCACGAUGAAAUAUUUCAGCUGUUUCCGUUUUCAGGAAAUAAUAAACUAUGACAGGAAAGUUUCUUUGUGUUGAACUGUGAAAACUCCUCGAGUUGGUGAAGAAAACUCACCUGGACUGACUCACCUGGACUCACCUGUAAAGACUCAUCAGGACUGACUCACCUUAACUCACCUGGAGCGACUCACCUGUAAAGACUCACCUGGACUCACCUGUAAAGACUCACUUGGAAUGACUCAUCUGGACUCACCUAUAAAGACUCAUUUGUACUGACUCACCUGUACUGACUCACCUGGACUGACUCAUCUGGACUCACCUGUAAAGACUCAUUUGGACUGACUGACUCAUCUGGACUCACCUGUAAAGACUCAUUUGGACUGACUCACCUGGACUGACUUGCCUGUAAAGACUCUCCUGUACCUGCAAGCAGGAUUAAAGCAUCCGUCUGUCGUGCGGCUCUGCUUUGUUUUUCUUAAAUUUGUAUUUUUGUACGAGUUAAAGUUAAACUCUGUUAUCUGAAUAAAACUCUAAUAUCAAUAAAGUUUCACUACGAAC